rnacentral:rRNA from 1 species
GACGAACGCUGGCGGCGUGCUUAACACAUGCAAGUCGAACGGAAAGGCCCUGCUUUUUUGGGGUGCUCGAGUGGCGAACGGGUGAGUAACACGUGAGUAACCUGCCCUUGACUUUGGGAUAACUUCAGGAAACUGGGGCUAAUACCGGAUAGGAACGCCUGCUGCAUGGUGGGGGUGGGAAAGGUUCGGCGGUUGGGGAUGGACUCGCGGGUUAUCAGCUUGUUGGUGGGGGAGUGGCUGACCAAGGCUUUGACGGGUAGCCGGCCUGAGAGGGUGACCGGCCACAUUGGGACUGAGAGACGGACCAGACUCCUACGGGGGGCAGCAGUGGGGAAUAUUACACAAUGGGCGGAAGCCUGAGGCAGCAACGCCGCGUGCGGGAUGACGGCCUUCGGGUUGUAAAGCGCUUUCGCCUGUGACGAAGAGUGAGUGACGGUAAUGGGUAAAGAAGCACCGGCUAACUACGUG